UCCGUAGGUGAACCUGCGGAAGGAUCAUUACAAAACUAGUCGUUCGUGUCAGGGUAACCUGAUUACGAUGUAAGCUCACUAGUCACCCUUGAAUAAACUACCUUUGUUGCUUUGGCGGGCCGCCUGUUGGCCAGUGGCUCCCGCUGCUGCGCGCCCGCCAGAGGACCCCCAACUCUUGUUUUUAGUGGCGUCUGAGUACUAUAUAAUAGUUAAAACUUUCAACAACGGAUCUCUUGGUUCUGGCAUCGAUGAAGAACGCAGCGAAAUGCGAUAAGUAAUGUGAAUUGCAGAAUUUAGUGAAUCAUCGAAUCUUUGAACGCACAUUGCGCCCUUUGGUAUUCCGAAGGGCAUGCCUGUUCGAGCGUCAUUAUAACCACUCAAGCCUUUGCUUGGUAUUGGGGUUCGCGGUCUCGCGGCCCCUAAAAUCAGUGGCGGUGCCUGUCGGCUCUACGCGUAGUAAUACUCCUCGCGAUUGAGACCGGUGGGUAGCUUGCCAACAACCCUAAUUUUCUCAGGUUGACCUCGGAUCAGGUAGGGAUACCCGCUGAACUUAAGCAUAUCAAUAAGCGGAGGGAAGUCGGACUGGCCAAGGGGCACACCAGGGGGGGGGAUA
rnacentral:rRNA from 1 species